ACAACGGCUCUUUUCAGAGCCACCCAACAGUUCUUUUGGAAGAGCUU
rfam:Neotoma lepida isolate 417 scaffold_786, whole genome shotgun sequence.